rnacentral:rRNA from 1 species
UACGUAGGGUGCGAGCGUUGUCCGGAAUUAUUGGGCGUAAAGAGCUCGUAGGCGGUUUGUCACGUCUGCUGUGAAAUCCCGAGGCUCAACCUCGGGCCGCAGUGGGUACGGGCAGACUGGAGUGCGGUAGGGGAGAAUGGAAUUCCUGGUGUAGCGGUGGAAUGCGUAGAUAUCUGGAGGAACACCAGUGGCGAAGGCGGCAUCCUGGACCGGUAUUGACGCUGAGGCGCGAAAGCUAGGGUAGCAAACGGG